UACGAAGGGUCCAAGCGUUAUCCGGAUUUAUUGGGUUUAAAGGGUGCGUAGGCGGCUUAUUAAGUCAGUGGUGAAAGACUUCAGCUUAACUGAAGAACUGCCAUUGAUACUGAUGAGCUUGAGUACAGUUGAGGUGGGCGGAAUGUGUCAUGUAGCGGUGAAAUGCUUAGAUAUGACACAGAACACCGAUUGCGAAGGCAGCUCGCUAAAACUGUAACUGACGCUGAAGGCACGAAAGCGUGGGGAGCGAACAGGA
rnacentral:rRNA from 1 species